UUUAUGAUUUUCUUUUUCUCCCGUGUACAGAAUUAAGGAUGUGAACUUUUCUGAGCUCGGUUUACUGGGCACAAAAUUGAAACACGCAAUAUUCAUUUGGAGUAAAAUGGCAUUUGGGGAAACCCCCAAAGCCGCUUUAUUAAUUAUAAAAUUUUUCAAUAACAAGUAUUUGAUUUAAAUUAUAUAUAAUAUAGUCUUGCCCAGUAAAGGUGAAGGGCACAAAAACGCUAACAAAAAAUUAUGCAUACAACAAUAUAGCUAAACAUAAAGAAAGCAGUAAGGGAGGGAUGGUGGGAAAUUUCUCUUCUGUUAUCGGCGAAAUCAAGCGGCAAAUGAGGCCGAUCUCACGUGGUAGCCUUGGUUUUAUGUCGGCGUUCUACGUCAGACCGAGGCUCGUCACCAAUCCCCCUUGCUUCUUCCUUCACAUCGGCAACUUCCGUAUGAUCAACUUGGAUUAAAUUUCCAACCAAGAAACUCAUAAAAACUCUAUUUGCCUUCAAAUAUUUCAUUUAUGAUUUUCUUUUUCUCCCGUGUACAGAAUUAAGGAUGUGAACUUUUCUGAGCUCGGUUUACUGGGCACGAAAUUGAAACACGCAAUAUUCAUUUGGAGUAAAAUGGCAUUUGGGGAAACCCCCAAAGCCGCUUUAUUAAUUAUGAAAUUUUUCAAUAACAAGUAUUUGAUUUAAAUUAUAUAUAAUAUAGUCUUGCCCAGUAAAGGUGAAGGGCACAAAAACGCCAAGAGCGUCAUGCAAAUGAUGCUGCCCCACCCGAAGAAAAAUACACAUCCUUGUCUGAUAAAUAUUGCAGUGAAGCAUAAACAUUAAUAUCAAUAAACAACAAAAACACUCGUCGGCCUGCUGCUCUUGCCAAUCA